AUGGUAGAAUGAGAAGGUCAUCAUUACCCUAGGUACAUGUAUGAUUGUGUACAACCAGAGAAAUGAAAAGUUGUACUCCAUUUGUAUACAAUGAAUCAAAGUGCAUUCAACUGUCACAUACAACUAAUUAGAACAAAUUUAAAAAAGAUUAUGGAUUUAACCUUACUUUUGCCUUAUCUAUUAAGUAUUUUCAAUUUUCUAGCUAUAAAUCAGGAGUCUGGGUAUCUGAUAUGUUAAUGUGUUUCUAAUUGCAAGGGAAAGAAAUCAUGUGCAAAUUUGCUUAACUAAUAAGAAGAAAUUUGGAGAUGAUGUGUGGAGUUUGGGGUUGGUGUGGCCUAGAUGCUCCAAAGAUUCUUUUUCUUCCCAUCUCUCCAUUUGCCUUCCUUAUGAUAUCAGCUUUAUCUUAAGUCUGUCUUAUGGGAAUACAUGGAGAGUUCUGGGAGAUCAAGGGAGUUUUUCAGAUACUCCCCUCAAACCAUUCUUUGUCCUUCAGAGGUCUUUACUGAGUCACAUACACAUGCAUUAACUUAAAACCAUGUUUUGUGAGUGGGAUUAUAGUUCACGUGGGCUGAAUGUGUACCUAAUUACCAGAACUAGUGAUAAAUUUGGCUUUCUCCAAAGUGCAUGUGCUACAGAGGAUGGUAUGGUUGUCUAAACAAAAACAAAACGAGGGUAAUCAUGAAGAGAAGGGUACUAAGUCAGAAGGUUAAUUACAAUACAGUAUCUCCCUCACCUGCUUUCUGACCACUUGCUUUCCAGCCCACCUUUCUGAGUCUUACAAAUGUAUUAUUCAAGAAGCCACUUCAUCUUCAUUCUUUCUUUGGAGUAGCUGCUCUCAUAUUUGGACUUUCUCCUUCCUAUAAUAUUUCCUGUAAAAACCUAAGUUGAACUCUAUUGUUUAGGGAUGCUGGCAGCCUGGCAGUCACACUGAGCAAGGCAACUUUGUGAACUGAUGUGGAUUGUAAUAAAAAUUGAGAAGGUCAUGUUUACUUUUGAAUGCUGCCACUAUUGCUUCUAUGAUUUGAAACGCUAGAAUACUAUUUUUCUUUCUUUUUUUAUACAUGCCUAAGGAAAUGUUUGUAUUUUUCCUUAAUUAGGGUAAUGUGAACCUUGCAAAAAAUCAUAAAAAAUACAGAUUCGUAAACUGUUAAAAGGUAGAAGAGCCACAAUUUCAGUUAAUUACAUAUUCAAACAGGGGCAGUGAUUCCUCUUCUUUCGGGAGACAAAUGCAGUAUUUUCAUCCUAUUUUUUUU
rnacentral:lncRNA from 1 species